rnacentral:rRNA from 1 species
GAUGAACGCUGGCGGCGUGCUUAACACAUGCAAGUCGAACGGGAAUUACUUUAUUGAAACUUCGGUCGAUUUAAUUUAAUUCUAGUGGCGGACGGGUGAGUAACGCGUGGGUAACCUGCCUUAUACAGGGGGAUAACAGUCAGAAAUGGCUGCUAAUACCGCAUAAGCGCACAGAGCUGCAUGGCUCGGUGUGAAAAACUCCGGUGGUAUAAGAUGGACCCGCGUUGGAUUAGCUUGUUGGUGGGGUAACGGCCCACCAAGGCGACGAUCCAUAGCCGGCCUGAGAGGGUGAACGGCCACAUUGGGAAUGAGACACGGCCCAGACUCCUACGGGAGGCAGGAGUGGGGAAUAUUGCACAAUGGGGGAAACCCUGAUGCAGCGACGCCGCGUGAAGGAAGAAGUAUCUCGGUAUGUAAACUUCUAUCAGCAGGGAAGAUAGUGACGGUACCUGACGAAGAAGCCCCGGCUAACUACGUG